rnacentral:sRNA from 1 species
AUGUGCAGUACAUCAUCAUACGCAGUACAGUGUUCGAAGCAAGGCAUGAAUCAGACCGUUCGUCGGAACUUAGCGGCAAUUCUACGAGAUACGCCUAUUUUUAAUUUUUAGAUAUGGACACUGACAUCCCUGUGCAUGCAUGGGUGGAUGGUACAGUGUUUAUUACAUACAAUGUACACGUCAACAGGCUAUUUCCUUGAGGAUUGCAGGAAUGAACGGAAACGAAUGUAAGUGAGAACCUUGGAAUAUUAUUCUUAAUGACGAGAAUUCAGGAAGCAAAAAAAGGUUCAAGUGAAACUCGCAGAGAAAUGAUGACAAAAGAGCAAUCUGAUGGACAGGAGGAAUGGACCAAAAAUACCUGUCCACACCUAGCGCGC